GUCGGACGCUUAACCGAAUGAGCCGCCCACGCACCUUGCACAUACACACACUUUUAAAAAAUAAAACAGGAAAGAUUUACAAUGGAAUCAGCCCUAUACUCUUCAUUUUCCGGGGCAAUGGUUCUCAAACGUCUCUGCACAUUUGGGGAGACUUUUACAAAAUGCCACCCCCACAGGUGCUGAUAGAAUUCAGGUGGAGUGAGGUUUAGGCUUCAGAAUGUUAGUAGCUCCCAGGAGGAUUCAAAAGUGCAGCCAACAGUGAGAACCACUGUCCCAUCUUUUUCUUAAAGGUAAGCCAUUACACUCACCUCUCAAUCUUGAAAACGCUUUUUUCUCAGAAGAAAAAUAGUGGGAAUCAAUUGCCACUAUCAUCACCCUUUAUCCCUAAAUACUUCAUGUAUCUCCUAAGAGCAAGAAAGGACGUUUGCUUACAUAACCAGAGCAUAAUCACUACCUCGAGAAAUUUCACAGUGACACCAAGCCAGCAUCUAAUAUUAAAUCCAUAUUCAGAAGUUUGCGAACUGUCCCAAUAAAGUCAUUCCAGUAAUUGUAGCUUUUGUGAUCCAGGAUCCAGUCCAGAAUCAUGUUGCAUUUACAUGUCUUUUCUCUUUCCUCUUAUUUAAUCUAAAGCAGGUCCUCAGUCUUUCUUAGCCUUCCAUGACAUUGCCCAAACUCCCUCUUUAACCUCGGGAAACUCAGAGCCUAGAGCUAAUGGCACUAUCCAGCUGGAAUGCAGUCGACUUUUGUCUUCUGCCUAUUUAUCUUUCUGGUCAACUUCUGUUUACGGCAAGUGACACUCAUUUCUUAUUUAUGGUAGUGAUGUGUGUGUGUGUGUGUGUGUGUGUGUGCAUGUGUGCGUGUGUGUUUAAUUUAGAGAGUGAGUGAGUGUAAAGGGAAAUAUAACUAAGGAAAUAACAAAACAGGCAUGUCGAUCUAGCCCAGGUCUUCCCGAGCUCAGCACUAUUGCCAUUUGGGGCCCGAUAAUUCUGGCUUUUGGGGGCUGUCCUGCGCAACGUAGGAUGCUUAGUGGCAUCCCAGGGCUCUGCCCAUUGGAUGCCAGUAGUGCCCUCUGUUCCCCCUCUGGUCGCGACAACCCAAAAUGUCUCCAGACAAGCGGCCAAGCGGCCCCUAUCCACAGGGAGGCAAACUCGCUUGGUUGAGAGCCACUGAUGUAGCCCCAGGCAUGAGAGAGGAGGGUGAGGAGCUGAAGUUUGGGAACCUGUAGUGGGACACUUGCCUCUGUCCAUUCAGGGUAAGUGACGCUUACCUCCCGCUUGGGCCUCGUCUGGCGCUCCGGGAGCCACAGCAAAGCAAAGGGAGGUGGGGGUGAUCUAAGAGGCAGAAAAACGUAAACCGGGAAGGAGCUAGGAAAAUCAUACUGUCACCAGGAAUUAAGUCUCCUUAAGCUUUGUGACCCCUCACAGAAGUUCUCCUGCCCCGAUAAUUCCUUUUAAGACACGAAUUGGAUCAUUUCAGUUCCCUGAUUAAAAGCCUCCAGUAACUUCCUAUCACAUGCUGAGUAAGAGCCAAGGACCAAGUGGACCCCGCAGGGUGAUCUCGCGCCUCUCUUUCCCUUGGGGUCCACUCGACCUGCUCCCCAUCACUGUCUUCUGCAGCCGCUCUGGACCCCUCUCUCUCCAAAGUCUCACCAUGUUCAUUUCUGAACGAAACUCUUGCAUUGCUGUGUCCCCUGUGUGGCAUGCGGUGUCCUCAGAUCUUGGUAGGGCUGGCCUCCUGUCAUCAGGUCUCAGUUCAGCUGUCACCUCCCCCUAGCGUGCCAUACACAGAAGCCCUCUCUCCCAGGGUCCUCUUUGCACUUUCUGUGGCAGGCACUGUUGGCCAGCUGACCUGACUUUCAAUAUCAGCUCCCUUCUCCUUCACGGCCAUCCAGGCAGAGGUGCCCAUUGGACCCCCAUCUGGCCAACGACAGGUCCUGGCAUCACCCCUCUCCCUCUUCCACCGUCUGCUGGAUCACAGGGCCGAUGGCUGGAGCUGUGCAGCCAUUCUGUGACCAGGAGGAAAAGACAAUGCGAAUAGCGAUUCCUGAGCCGGAGGACCAGCACCAGCAUCCUCACUGUCUGUUCCAUGGAGGGAAAUCAAUCCCAAGGGUUUACACCACCAGGAUCGGGCUAUCGGGUAUUUGCGGCCAAAACCACCCGUGACUGAAAUUACUCUGUUAAUUUAGGUGUUUGCUUUUUGUCCCUAACAUCCGCUUGAAGGGCCGUGAGACAGGGAUUCAUGUCUGUCUUAUUCACGAUUACAUUUUCAGGGCCUGGGCAUGGGGCCUGACUCAGGUGAGAGCCCCAUCACUAUUAACCGGUGUGCUCCCCAGUUCUCUCACACAUCAAAUAGGGACAGUCACAGCACCCUAACAGAUUGUAAGGACAAGAUGAGUCAGUGCAUGCAUAGUGUUUACAGCACAGAGUCACGGCUCAGAGUUGACUUAAUGACCUCAUUAACGUGUGGAAGAAAGGAUUCCUUCUCUCUGUGAUUUUGCAGCAGUGGCCCUUGGCUUUCCCCCCUUCUCUUCAAAUCAAAGCUGUGUUUACUUGGUGCUGACAAGUCAGGCUAUCGGUUAAGAAACGUGACCACUGUGGUUGGAAGAAAUCCACGCCUUUUACAGUGAGCUGUUGGAUUAGCACCUUGAGGGAGUGGAGAGAAAGACAGACACCGGGACACAAAAGGGUAGAGCGAAUAAAGCCUGGUAUAUUCCAAAGUUCAGGCCAACGAACGCUGGAAACGAAACCUAAUAUAGGAUUGUGCUGUUGCACGCCGUGGGAGAACGGAACUGUGUGUUAUAACUCACGCUUGGCUAAAGCCACUUAGAGGUAAGUUGGAGGUUAUGGGGACAGAGAGUCACCACGUGUUGGGAGGCGUCGGGGGAAAGGGGUUCAUUCAUUCAUUCACUCAACACAAUAUUUAUGGAACAGCUGCGAUGUGUCGUGCAAAGAGGGAUCCGGCAGGGGAAACAGCGAGCGUCCGCCUUGUCUGAAACGAUCGGGUGGUUCUAAGGGACCCCACAAUCAUUUUUCCCUAGUUGCCUUGCAACCAAGUAGAUGCCACUCCACAUUUCAGAUCCCACGUGACAUAGCUCUUGACUAAUCUUACCGCUACUAUCAUUUCCCAGUAUUUACUCUGUACGAGGUGCUACGUUGACACCCCUUUACCAACCAUGGUGGAGACCAUUUGCUAGGCAUCUCUCCAGCAUUCGUUUCCUUUUUCUUUACAAACAGAACAAAAACAAAAACAAACCUCCCUUUUAUUCAGGGUCACACCAAAGAGACCGUAUCCCCAAAUAAAACUGGCACCAAUCUUUAUGAUUAGCAGCCAACCACACAUCCCAAGGAGCACAGUGAGGUAGGGAUUAAUAUCAUCCUCAUCUCACAGGUGAGCAAACCAAGGGUCAGAGAGUUUAAAUGAUUUGCCAAAGGCCAUAGGGCUUCUAGCUGGUGGUAGCUUGGUUCCAGAACCCACGCUUUUUAUUCUUUUGGUGUAUUCUCAGGCACACAGAAAGCACAUGUACAGCUCUCCCAUUUAACCCUCCCAGGAGCCUCGGCAGGGAGUGUAAUGGGUAAGAUCUUCAAAUAUCUGGGGACAUACGUUCCUUAAUCAGCCAGCUGGCUUCCUUCCUUGAACCACCUUCCUCCCCACUCCUAAAGCUAAUCCCUUCCAGGUCAGUGGAGUGAAGAGCCUAAAAGAAGAGCGAGAGAGAGAGAGAGAGAGAGAGAGGUGGGGAAGCAGUCAGCUGCGUCUGGAUGCCCAUCUAGGCAGGACUCCCAGGAGAAGAUUGUUACGGUGUGGGAAAAGCCAAAGGCAGAGAAGAUUUUGCAUCAUUUCCCAUAUGGGAUUCUACGAAGAGACAUUCAAAUAAAAUCAGUACACAACGCGGUUAGGCAGAGGGAGGGCUUGAAUUUUGCAUCUGGAAGGUUCCAUGUGCCCUGUGGACGGAUAGAGAAAACAGCUGACGGUGUUGAUGGGUGGCAUUAAUGGGAGUUGCUCUGGGAACGGUGAAGUGGCCACAGGGUGACCAGAGACGACCAUGGGCAAAGUGGGUGUGGCAGCCAGACCACAGGGGGAAACUGGGCACCGGAAAGAGCUGAGGUAGGGCUGGCCAGCUGGGAGGCACCCUGAGUGGACCGAGCGAACCGCCAGCUGUCUAGCUGUCCACCAGUUGUAGACCCAGCAAGUGCGACCUGCUGGGACACGAGCAGGACAACAGGAGUAAUAGAGGCCACCUCCCAGGAUUAUGAGGGUACAGUAGGAGCCGUGAGGGCGUGUGACAGAGGUCAGACGCUAGACACGGGACUUCGGACCUCACCCUUUCUUCCAUCCUGCUGUCUUGCCACAGCCGCUGCCGUGAGCGAUGCCUAGAGCCGUGGGGACCUGGGUGGUGGCUUAGGGACAGGAAAGAGACAAACAGGCCUCAUUUUAAUGCUUGUCCGCAACCUGGACCUGGUUUUUUAAGGUGAGCCUCGCCUAACCAGCAGUCGGUGUUUAUUGAUAUGUAGUAAGUCAAUGACCAAAUGAAUGAGUGAUGAAGGCCUUUCCCAGGGACUUUGGGAGUCUUGGAAACCUUUCCGGCAAUACCCUCCUGUUAGAGAAUGAAGACGUGUGUAUUACAGGAGGGAGGAAACAGUUGCCUGCAGAUUUCUUUUUUUAGCGCAGCACCGAGGGGAUUCAAGAGGGGACAGCCAGAGCUGGAGCACAGACGAAGGCCCACCAACUGGUGUCACGUGAGGCUCUGGCCUGCUUUUGGCAGGAUCACCAAAACAGCAGAAGGGAGUCACUUUUCAGUCCCCGUUCAGAUGUCACCGCCUCCCGGAAGCCUUCCCGGAUAGCCGCCCGCCAGGUUGAGAUGCCUACUCUGUGCUUCUCUCUACGGACCCCUUACCUAGAACAGUCUGCUCAUCGCGGUUCUGCCUUGAAGAGCGCCUGGCCUAAAUUCUUGAGGUUUGGGAACAGCACGGAAGCUCAGGGCGACGGGGCUGUCCGCCUGGGUGGUGGCUGGCCGGGUGGGUGGGGACGAAGACGGAACAAUGGAGAGCCGGCACAUGGUAGCAAUUGGCCUCUGUGCCUAGACCACCCGAGGAGCCGGGCCCCGUGGCCUCGGAGCAGGGAGCGUGAAGGGCGCCCGCUGUCGGUGCCGUCUGCGAACGGAUUUGGCACCGACGGGCGCAAGGCAGCCGGUGGCGGUAGGCGCCUGAAAGCUUCUGGCGGAAGGAAUCGGGCACAAAAAGCACCGACCUCAAAACCCCAGCCACACAUCUGGACGUGUGCAGAGGGGAGCGGACGGGGGAUGCGGACGGUGACGUCCAAAUACCAGCCCGAAGGCCCAACGGGGAAGAAGAUCCCGCCCCCCCCCCCUCUGCCGCGCCUCCCACUUUAGAGAUGAAUAAAAUAGGGCCCUGGUUCUGCUGUUCCGGGAGGACCCCCCCCCCCAUCUCGGGACAGACUCUUGAAGUCCCCCGGGGGGGGGGGGGGGGCUUUCCUUUGUGGCCUUUCCUGCCCACGCUCUGGGCUACCCGUAAAUCUAACCCUGUCCACGGCCAGCGGGCCUCAAGAGCCGGGAGACUCACGGGGGCAAACAACUUGACAAAAACAAUCUGUCCCAUAAACAAAGUCGGUGGAAAGCGUCCAGCCCCACACAAUGGAGCUAAUCUUCUGGGCACACAUUUCCCGUCCGGGGUAUUAGCGUAGACACCGCUUCCUCCUAGGUGGAGGUAACGCCACUUGGCCCGCGGAUCCAAGAACAAUAAUGCUCCGUAGAUCCCCAGCUCCCCCCCCCCCCACCCGUCCGAGGCAUGGUGAGCAGGAAUUCAGAGGCAGGGAGCUGAGCCUUCCCCCUCCUUUCUUUUCUUAAAGAAGCCCUGUGGGUUUGGAGGCAGGGUCACAUCUGGAAAGAACAGGGGUGCACAGAGCAUCUAACCCUGGGUCGUGAUUCCGCGCCACCCCUGCCCGGCCCUGAGCUUUGGGGCAAGUGACUUAAUCUCCUAGAAGUGUAAUUUCCCCAUGGUUCAAGGGGGAUGGUGUAAAGAUGCCCAAACUCACUCGUACUCAGGGGGACGUAAAAUUAAAAUAUCGAAUGGCCACUAUCAAAAAAAAAAAAAACAAAACCCGCAGAAAAUAACCCAUGUCGGCAAGGAUGUGGUUGUACACCCUUGGAAGCGGUGUAAGAUGAUGCAGCCGGAGAAUAGGGUGACGGUUCCUUGGAAAUCAAAAACAAAAUUACCAUGUGGCCCAGCAAUCCCGCUUCUAGGUCCAUACCCAGAAGAAUGCUGUGCUCCCAGCAACAUUGUUCAGAAUAGCCAAGAAAUGGAAGCGACCCAAAUAUCCAUCUAUGAAUGCACUGCUAAGGAAAAUGUGGUCUAUCCAUUCCACGGACUAUGCUUCAGCCUCAGAAAUGAGGGAGAUCAUGUCACCCUGCUACAGCGUGGAUGACCCCCGAGGACAGUGCGCUAAGUGAAACGAGCCGGGCGUAAAAAGACAAAAUGAAGCCAGCCACCAUAUUGUGAGGACACUCAAGCCGUGUGACAAGGAACUAACAGGUCCCUCUGACAGCCAGCACCGGCUCGAUCCACCUUUGACAUACCUACCUACUCCCAGUCAAGCCUUUAGGUGACUGAUUGCACCUCUUGAGACACCUUAAACCCGAACCACCCAACUAAGUUGCUUCUGAAUUCCCGACCCAUGGGCACUGUGAUAUAAUAAAUAUGAAGGGUUUUAAGCCACUAGAUUUGAGGGUAAUAGGUAACUGAUGCAGUUAUAGUUGUCUCCUUAAUGCUCUGGGCCUGCGGUCUGUUCUCCUCUUGCUCGGCAGGUGUCAGAAAGGUAACAUCAGAAAGUCACGUUAGGACUGAACCAAAACUUUUGUUCUUCAAGUAAUCGGAAGGACUGGCUGUUCUUCAAGGCUUAUUUCUGCAUUUGAUGUAAAGUCAAUUCCACUAGAAGCAAGAACCCAUACGGUGAGAAGCACUGAACUGGCCAGUUGUGGGCUCGGCUGGGUCCCCCACCCCUCAAAUUCAUAUGUUGAAGUCCUCAUCCUCACUUCCUCAGAAUGGGACUGUAUUUGAAGACAGGGCCUUUAAAGAGGUCAUUAAGUUGAAAUGAGUUCAUUAGGGUGAACCCUCAUUCAAUAGGACUGGUAUCCUUAUAAGAAGGUGAGGCCACAGACACACACAUAGAGGGACAGCCAUGUGCAGACACAGGGAGAAGUCGACCAUCCACAAGCCAAGGAGAGCGCUCUCACCAGAACCCAGCCAUGCUGGCAACGUGAGCUUGGACUUUGAGCCUCCACAAUUGUGACAGAAUAAAUCUAUGUUGCUUAAACCACCCAUCUGUGGUGUUUCGUGUUGGUUCUCCCAGCAAACUAACACAUAGUCUAACACACUUGCUUUACAAAUCAUGGCCUUACAUCCAAAGGGCAGAAGUGACUUGGCCAAGGUCACAGAGAGAAGACAGAGCAGCAGAGCAGUGAAAGCCCCUCUCUCCUCACUGGAGUCCAGCGGUUCUUCUAAUAAGUGAGGCCAAGUCCCCCCAGUGGAGAAGAAUUCUCAGAAAAUGCUUACAGAUGACAUUUGAGUUCCUUGUUCCUUGUUCAAGAUGGCGAGUGAGUGGCCUCUGCUCACAGCCCCAUCACCUUCUCUGCCUCAGGCAUUGAAAUUUUUUCAAGUAUUUAAAAAAUAUGUUUCUUGGGGCGCCUGGGUGGCGCA